rnacentral:tRNA from 1 species
GGGGAGGGCGUCAUAGGGAGGCGGCCCCCUCCGUACCCCCUCAGAUCCCCCAUUACGUAGGUUCAUAGCCUAUCCGGGGUUCGAAUCCCCGUCUCUCCGCCA